CAUCGCAUGGUCUCUAUCCACCAUCGUUCGCAAAUAUUGCACAUCUGUAAAUCCCUAGGACAGUGAGAAAAUAGAACUCCGUAGAAAUACAUACUUUAUACAAAGUAUGCACAUUGACUUUUAUCUAUUCACUGUUGCAACUUCAAUUUUUGACCAGGCAAGCAUUAGAAAAUGUGUGCUAAUAAACUUGUGAUUAUCAUUGUUGUAAUUUUAAUGUGCGGGAGCUGUCUUGAUGGUACGAAUGCUUUGAGCUUGUUUGGAAGAUUUUGGAAUUCAUCCACAACUACGACAAAGACAACGAUGGCGACUACAAAUUUUCCAUCGACUACAAGAUCACCCCCAACAUCCACUUCUGGGGGAAGCUGUUGGUGGACUAAUUGUGGAAAGAAUUGCAUCCCAGGUGCUUUGGUGCACGACUAUAGUCAGUGCAAUCCAGGAAUCUACAAGUUCAAAUGCUGCUCAUCUUGAGACUGUGCACACCGUUAAUAAACAUGAUUAAUUUCAAUAUUUUGUACACAAACUUAUGAGUAGCACAUUAAAUUGUACAUCAAAUCUGUCUUAUUCAAAUCACACAAAAA